rnacentral:misc_RNA from 1 species
CCAUGCAUAGUAGGAAUUU